rnacentral:rRNA from 1 species
CAGCCGCCGCGGUAAAACGUAGGUGGCGAGCGUUGUCCGGAAUUAUUGGGCGUAAAGGGCUCGCAGGCGGUUUCUUAAGUCUGAUGUGAAAGCCCCCGGCUCAACCGGGGAGGGUCAUUGGAAACUGGAAACUUGAGUGCAGAAGAGGAGAGUGGAAUUCCACGUGUAGCGGUGAAAUGCGUAGAGAUGUGGAGGAACACCAGUGGCGAAGGCGACUCUCUGGUCUGUAACUGACGCUGAGGAGCGAAAGCGUGGGGAGCGAACAGGAUUAGAUACCCCGGUAGUCCCUGUCUCUUAUACA